rnacentral:rRNA from 1 species
CCUACGGGUGGCAGCAGUGGGGAAUAUUGCACAAUGGGGGAAACCCUGAAGCAGCGACGCCGCGUGAGUGAAGAAGGAUUUCGGUACGUAAAACUCUAUCAGCAGGGAAGAAAAUGACGGUACCUGACUACGAAGCCCCGGCUAACUACGUGCCAGCAGCCGCGGUAAUACGUAGGGGGCAAGCGUUAUCCGGAUUUACUGGGUGUAAAGGGGGCGUAGACGGGAGCGCAAGUCGGGAGUGAAAUCCCAUGGCUUAACCAUGGAACUGCUGUUGAAACUGUGCAGCUAGAGUGCAGGAGAGGUAAGCGGAAUGCGUGGUGUAGCGGUGAAAUGCGUAGAUAUUAGGAGGAACACCAGUGGCGAAGGCGGCUUACUGGACUGUAACUGACGUUGAGGCUCGAAAGCGUGGGGAGCAAACAGGAUUAGAUACCCUAGUAGUC